AGCACCUUGACGCAGUGGAAGCGUGCUAGGCUCAUAACCCAGUAGUCGGUUGAUCAAAAUAGCUAGGUGCUA